GCGUGUAACAAAAUCCCUCGGGAGUUUGUCUGGUGGGAGUCCUUUAUCAGACAAAAUUAAUCUGAUCGCCUAAUCCCCAAGGGGUAAACUGAGGAAGCUAUCAAGCUAAGGGGAAGGGUUAGAAAAAAGAGAAGCCACACCAGGCAUUCUGCCUCUAUUACUUCUUUCGACGCUUGUCGCAGCCCCGUGAGGGGAUCACCGGUAUCAUCCCACCUUACAGGGACCAUUAAUUUUUUUAUGGACGAUCAAACCCGGAUACAGUGGAAGGGCCACCACAUGGCUGAUUCAGAAACAGUAACCAAGGCAGCGGAUAUUAAAGGUACAACUGCUUUGACCUUCUAGGCGUCGGUGAGGUUUCCUCCAGCAAUGUGCAUCCUCAGAUGGUCAAAGGGUAGAAAUCCCCACAGAGCAAACUGGCCAAAUGCUGCUAAAACAAAGACAGGUCAUUUUUUAGAAACCUCGCCUAAGG